GGUUGGUCCGAAGGCAGUGGGGUCACAAGCGAAUGCUGCAGCCAAUCAGCCACCUGGCUUACUUACAGCCAGUUGGCGGCAACCAGCGGGUAUCCCCUAUGACCCGCUUGGGGCGCUACAUUCCCCUCCCACUGUCGGACAUUGACCAACCUUUU
rnacentral:Y_RNA from 1 species